GCGUCCCAUCCAGGAAGGCGCAGGCGCGUAAAUACCCAUCCUGAUACGGGGAGGUAGUGACAAUAAAUAACAAUACGGGGCCCAUCGGGUCUUGUAAUUGGAAUGAGUACAAUAUAAAUCCCUUAACGAGGAUCAAUUGGAGGGCAAGUCUGGUGCCAGCAGCCGCGGUAAUUCCAGCUCCAAUAGCGUAUAUUAAAGUUGUUGCAGUUAAAAAGCUCGUAGUUGGAUUUCUGGUAGGAGUGACCGUGCCGAACUUGAUUGUUCGUGUAUUGUGUUGUCUCCAGCCAUCCUCGUGGAGAACUUUUCUAGCAUUAACUUGUUGGGAUUGGGACCCGCGUCUUUUACUGUGAAAAAAUUAGAGUGUUUAAAGCAGGCAUUAGCUUGAAUACAUUAGCAUGGAAUAAUAAGAUAGGACUUUGGUACUAUUUUGUUGGUUUGCAUACCAAAUUAAUGAUCAACAGGAACAGUUGAGGAUAUUCGUAUGAACAUGUCAGAGGUGAAAUUCUUGGAUUUUGAUCAGACGAACUACUGCGAAAGCAUUUAUCAAGGAUGUUUUCAUUAAUCAAGAACGAAAGUUAGGGGAUCGAAGAUGAUUAGAUACCAUCGUAGUCUUAACCAUAAACUAUGCCGACUAGGGAUUGGCGGACGUUGUCUAUAUGACUCCGCCAGCACCUCAUGAGAAAUCAAAGUCUUUGGGUUCCCGGGGGAGUAUGGUCGCAAGGCUGAAACUUAAAGGAAUUGACNGNAAGGGCACCACCAGGAGUGGGAGCCUGCGGCUUAAUUUGACUCANCACGGGAAAACUUACCAGGUCCAGACAUAGUAAGGGAUUGACAGAUUGAGAGCUCUUUC
rnacentral:rRNA from 1 species